rnacentral:tRNA from 1 species
GGGGUUUUAAGUUAUCAGAAACUGUAGGCCUUCAAAGCCUGAAAAGGAUGGAAUCCAGGCCCCU